UAUAAUUGUUUUUCUACCAGUAAUUACAAAUAGAACAGGUUGAAUUGAUUCUUUUCAAGGCAGCGCUGUCAGUGGUCACUGGUAGCUGUAAACACAUUUGACCUUUGCUGACCCAAAGGGUGCGAAGAUUCUUUUGUCCCUAUGGCUGACCUCCCACAUAUUUAUAGACCUGUAGAAUAUGAUCUAUUCACCAAGCUACUACCCAACUAUUUCCUUCAACAAUCACAUAUUUAUGAUUAUCUCAAGUACAAGACAAAAUUUGAAAAUAAAGAACAUUUAGUAAAAUCUUUUAAUUAUAAAUGGAAAUAGUAAUAAUGAUAAUAACAAUGGUAGUGGUCGUGAUGGUGAUAAUGAUACAAAUAAAAAUAAUAAUAAUAUGCUGCAGCUGCUAAUACUAUAAAUACUACUAUUAUGAUAGCACAGGAAUCUGAGGCCCAUCUAUAACCCUAACCACUACUCCACCCCUGCUACUGUUACUGUUGCUGCAACCACUGCUGCUACUACACAUGAAAACUAUAAUAUCAGUGAUAUCAGCGAUGAUAAUAAUAAUAAAGAAAGGAAACGGGUGGAACUUCCCCAUGGACUGAUUGAUGAUACAUUUAGUGAUGGUGUCACAAUAAAAACACUGGUAAUUGCGCAACCUAAUAGCUGCUACCUCAUAUGAGUGACAAUGUAAAAACAAAAUAUUGUGAAUAACAGUGGUAAUGAAACUGAAUCCAAUGAUGGUGACAGUGUUACACUCAGUACGCUCAGAGAUUCUGGUCCGGCUCCAGCCUGUAGAUAUCCAGAAACUGACCACCACACACGGCGUAGGUAGAGCAAGCAAAUUGAUGCUGUGGUCAUGGAGUGUUACUACCUGAGCAGUCCGGUAUAUGAAAAUGGUGCUCAAAUUAGGGGUUACCAACAACGUAUUGGAGAGAAAAGGGAUCGUUUCAACUCACGGAACACAGACUAUGUGAUCAAGGUAGAGCGAUAAGAAAAAAUCGUUGGUUCGCAGAAGUAGAGCUAGAAACUGUUAAAAGACGGGUCUUGGAAAAUAGCAGCAGAGAUAACAAUGAAAAUACAGUUCUAACUAAUAAGAGUAAUCUCAUAGCGCAGGAAAGAAGCAGUGGUAGUUUACUUGAUGAGAGACAUAUAGAUGAUCUAAAAAAAGACAAUAAAACUAAUGGCGACAUGAUAGAUGAACAAAAAGUAAUCUACGGCAGAAUAAAGGCAAGACUACAAGAGAACGAUAGCGACAUUAUUUGCAACCUUUAAAAGGUUGAUCGAUGGAAAUUGAACAAAGAAACGAAAAAUGUCAAUGAAAUUCUGAAAUACAUCAAAACAAACAACAUCACAGAAAUAAAUAAUUUGAUCAAGGCAGCAAGUAUUGUUGUAGCAGAAAACGUGGGUAUUGAUGUCAAAAAAAAAAAAAAAUUGGGGGAGUGACAAAAGAAAAAAAUCCAUGGUGGAAAAGAAGAAUACAGAUAUGCUCUCGAAGGAAAUCUCUGUUAGACCGAAAAGAGAAAGGGGAUCUUAAAAGCGAACAGAAAUCACUGAAAAGGAAGUAUAUUGAAAGAAAGGACCUGAAGGUGGUGAUGGAAGAACUGAAACAGCGCCUCGUUGCAAAGAAAGCAAAGAUGGUAAGAUACGACCAAAGAAUGAAGGGUUACCACCAGAAUAGGUUUUUCAGAGCAGAUAAGAAGAGAUUCUACAAAGAAAUAAUGGAGAGUGUACAGAUGAAAAGUUGAUACCAGAUAAUAUUGAACGGCAAAGGCUUUGGAGUGACAUCUGGAGCAAAUACAAGGAGCACAAGAAGGAUGCUGAAUGGCUGAAAGAACUGAAACGAACAGUAGUCUGUCCAAAACAGGCAGAACUAGUCAUUUCAGUCAGGAAAGUGAAGGAAAUCAGCAAAAAGAUGAGCAACUGGAAGGCCCCGGGAUCACAUGGAGUUCAAGGCUACUGGAUCAAAAGAUAACUAAAUGGAACCGGGAAGAAUAUAAAGAAGUAAUAUACGCUUAUUACGUUGCAUUAAAUAGUCCAACCCAAGAGAAACACCUCAAACUCCUACAGAAUUUGGAGGAGCCGGAAUCCAGCUAGCAGACCAAACCUGUAUGAAAUGAGAUUAGCAAAUGUUAGAAGAGAUAUCUUCAGAAAUACCAGACUCACAGAUGCAGAAUUAACUUCUAUUAAAAAAGUGGUAGAGAAUGACCUAAAUAUAAGUCAGGAAAGAAAUAACAAAGCAGAGGAGAGGAAUUUUGGACCACAAGUAUUGACCGAAAGGCGACCAUCUGCCGAAACCACUCAAGAGCCUGAAGAAAAAGGAAAAUGUAAUGACCCUAGAAAAAAGUCAGGAAAAUGAUGUCAAAACAGAAUUUGGAGACCACAUAUUUGCUGAACAACACAGAAAAUCUACCAUUGAAACGAGAGAGGAAGUUCUGAAUGAGCUUGCAGUUGUAGGGUAUACAAAUAUGAAUGGUAGGGAACCACUCCAUAAACUCUCAAAUGCACACCAACAUAAAACACAAAUAAAAAUUGGCAACUGCGUUAUACAAGAAAUCAUACAACAACUAAAACCCGAUCUUAAUAAGUUAACUGAAAUUAUUUACUCUGUUGCUAAGGUAAUCGAAAGACGCUGUUUAACAUCCAAAAAACCAACAAUACCAAAUUCGAAAAGAAAAUCAAACUGGAGGAGUAGAAUUGAAACUGAUAUUGAGUCAUUGCGAAGGGAGCUAUCAUUAUUAACUGAGCUAAUCUCUGUAAAUGGUGUACGAUCAAGAAAAGGCAGGAAAAUUGUGAGAAAAUAUGGACUCUCAACAAGAGAAGAACUCAUGUCAGCAAAAGAAACACUUAAACAAAAAGUUCAAGCAAAAGCUCAGAGAAUACGCAGAUUUGAGAAAAGAAUCAAAUUCUACAAGCAAAAUAAGAUGUUCAAAUUCAAUGCCAAAUCAUUUUACAGGGAAAUAGAGAAAGAAAACAAAUAACCAUUGAAAAUCCACCCUUAAUGGGAGAAGUUGAAAACUUUUGGAAAGGGAUCUAGAGUGAUGAGAAACCAUACAAUGAAAAUGCAGAGUGGAUCAAACGCACCCAAGAUGCCUACAAAAAUUGACAAGAACAGGUAUGGGAAGACAUCUCAAUCGCCGACCUAAGGAGGGCACUAACGAAGGCUCAUAAGUGGAAAUCCCCUGGUAUUGAUAGAGUACCAAAUUUCUGGCUCUCAUCACUCUCGUCCGCACACAAAAUGUUAGAAUACUAUUUAAUAGUAUUAUGAAAGACCCGGAAAAAACUCCCCAUUGGAUGGCAAAUGGUAUUACUUACCUCCUCCCCAAAAAUAACGAAACCAAAAAUCCAAAAAACUACCGGCCUAUAACAUGUUUGUCUACUACCUAUAAGAUUUUGACAUCUAUUCUAGUGGAGAAAACAUAUACGUUUAUGGAAGAGAAUAACCUCUUUCCCACUGAACAAAAAGGAUGCAGACGAGGCUCAUACGGAUGCAAAGAUCAGCUCUUAAUUAAUCGUAUGAUCCUUGAGAACUACCUUAACAAGCGCAGAAAUCUCAGCUCUUCAUGGAUUGAUUAUAAAAAAGCCUUUGACAGCAUACCACAUUCGUGAAUUCUGAAAUCGCUGGACAUUUUCAAAAUUUCUCCUGUGAUUUCAGAUUUUUUAAAGUAUAAUAUGUCACUAUGGAACACGAAGCUCCAAUUAUAUCAUUCUAAUGGAGCAUUGCGCUCAAACAAUAUUAGCAUAAAUUGUGGCAUUUUCUAAGGUCACUCACUUUCACCACUAAUUUUCUGCAUAGCACUAAUACCACUCUCAAGCGAACUGAAUAGAACAGGGUAUGGCUACGAAAUUGACAACAGGAAAAUAAGCCAUCUAUUUUAUAUGGAUGAUUUAAAACUAUAUGGCGAAGAUGAUGAAGAGCUUGAAGGACUACUACAUACUGUGAAAGGAUUCAGUGAUGAUAUCGGGAUGGAGUUUGGCCUUGAAAAGUGUGCCAAAGCCACUUUUUAGAAAGGGAAACUGGUAAAGUCAAGUUCAAUCGAAUUAGAUGUCUAAACAGUAAUAAAAGCACUUGAGCAGGAACAAACUUAUAAAUACCUAGGAAUAAAUGAAGGCUCUGGUAUCCAACAUGCAAGCAUGAAAGAGAAGGUUAGGAAGGAAUGUAUAGAAGAGUUCGAGCAGUCCUGAAGUUUGAGUUGAAUGCAUAUAAUAAGCUGUUAGCCAUAAAUUCCUUAGCAGUCCCAGUUGUUCUUUAUAGCUUCAAUGUACUUAACUGGAAUACCAGUGAAAUAAUGAAAAUGGAUAGAAAAAUCCGGAAGCAACUGACUUGUAAUAAGAUGCAUCAUCCAAAGGCAGACGUGGAUCGUCUUUACGUUCCCAGAACUCAGUGAGGUCGAGGCUUCAUCCAGCUUGAACUUACGUACAAAACCACCACAAUCGGACUGGCCAAAUACCUUGAAACAACCAAAGAUUGGAUGUUGUAACUUGUAGAAAAACAUGAAAGACCGAAAAAACACUCUAUUCUGAAAGAGAGCAAAAAAUUCGCUACUGAUCUCUUAGAUACCUACCAGAUUGAUCAGGUUGAAGGAAAUGUGCCAACCGCUGCUGCAAAGAAAAUAAAAUUAAUGGCAAAGACAAAAGCACAUGAAAAAUUAGCUAGUAGAUGGGAACAGAAACCUCUGCAUGGCAAGUAAGUGGCUCGUAGCAAACAAGCUGAUGUCGACCAGAAACACGCAUCAAUGGUUACGAAAUUCAGUGCUAAAAGCAGAGAGUGAAGGUUUCAUAUUAGCUGCUCAAGACCAAAGCUUAUUAACCCGGAGCUACCAGGCCAAUGUGAUAAAGUAUGGAGCUGACCCAAAAUGCCGAUUCUGUAACGAUGAGAUUGAAACUAUAGACCACCUGAUUUCAGGGUGUAGAGUCUUAGCACCUGUAGAAUAUAAAGCAAGAUAUGACAGAGUCGGCCAGUAUUUACACUGGACAAUAUGUCGGCAUUAUAAAAUCAAAACCGCUGACAAAUGGUAUAAACACCAUCCUGAAGCUGUGAUUGAGGGAGAAAAUGUAUCGAUUCUCUUGUAGAAUCUCUAGGAAUGAUAAAAAAAAGGGUACUGAAACCUGUAUGAAAAUGAUACCAGGCUUACCAUCCCUGCAGGAAGUGCAAAAAAUCGUGUUGACUGGAACGACUUAUGUACUGAGAAGAGCAUUAUCGCUGUGAAAACAACAUCCAUUCAUGAAUUUAUUUAUUUAUUUAUUAAUUUAUGAAUUUGCGUGUGUAAACUGGGAAUGCAUACAAUGAGCAUCUCUGCCCUAGGUGUACGGAAAACACUUGGCGAGAAAUGGAAGAAAAUUUGAAGAAAGAAGAAAAAAUAAUAAAGCAAUAAAUAAUAAUAAUAACCAGGGACUUUUAACAUGUGAGAGCAGUGAAACACUGCUCCAAAAUCUAUCGAAAAACAUCGGGAAUAAAGUCAUCACAUGGAGCCAAAAAUAGUUGACAAAAUGUUGGACUAUAUCCGAGUAAGUAAUACUCAUUGAAACUUAUUUCUAUUUUCCAAAUGAAAUCAUGUAUUUUAACUGUAUAUCAUUUCCACAACGCGCACAGCACAUGUAAACACGCUUGCCACAUUACGAUCCAAUCAACACCAGACCAUCUCCGUCCCCAAACACCAUGUACAAAAUAAAUAAAUUAAUUAGUUAAAUAAUAUCGGUGUUAUUCAACCCAAGAAUAACAAUCGGGAAGUAUGUACUUUAAACUUGUUACACAAAAAGUACGAAAAAUUACAUGUACAGUACAAUUUAACACCAGAAAUGAAAGGACCGGUACCCUACGAAAAUGAUGACCGUCAAAAUAAAGGGCCGGACGUUAUUCCUCAUGUCCCGCAGAUAAAAUCAGAAAGCAUAUAUGGACACGAGAGGAAUAUAUUUACGCUUAUUUUACAGUAGUGCUCUACCCAAAGAAUGAAAACACCACAACAUAUACAUAUAAAAUCUGGAAAAAAAAGCCUAAAUAAAGACUUGAAUACAGCAUUGAACCCUAAUAAACUAGUUAACAUACGAAAAUAUAUUCUCAAAACAAAAACAAUGAAAAUAAUAUCAGAAAUAGAAAUAGAACACUUAAUAGGAAAAAUACAUCAGGAAAAUGUAGAUAGUAACCACACAUCAAUGCUAAAUAAUAUCAUAAGCAUCAGAACUGUAAAACAUGAAGACAGGCGUAACAUUUCCAACAAAAGCGAAGUGAACAAACCCAGACCGUAGGAAUGUAUAAUGAUGCGCAAAAAGCACCAAACCAGAACACCACAGACAAAUAUAUGAACGGGAAGGAAGGCGAAACAAAUCUAAAACCUGGAAACAGUGAAGGUGAACCUAAUGAUUGUGAUACUCUAAAAUGAGCAUAAUCAAAGAAAUGAAAGCCACAGAUCUCAGUAUGGACCACCGAAUGUACCUCCCAAAAAUUAGAAUUGAUACUAAAACAACGUCACAGAACUAAUAGCCACAGAAAGAAAUGUCAAUAUCAUCGGGCUAAAUAACAUAAUAUAUGCAGCAGCCACUGUAGCCACAAAAGAAGCUGGAUACUCCCUCAGACCCAUCCAAACAAGAGUACCACCACCCAAACAAACACUGUGGAUAAAUAAUAUCCAGAAAACAAGAGAAAACAAGAGAAAAGACCUGUCAAUCCUUAACGAAACUAGUAGACAUUCAACACCACUAAGCAACAAGAAGAGAACAAAGAUACUGUGCCAAUACAACAUUACAGUAAAAGGUUUACCUGAGGUAAAAGAACAACAAAAGCAAGAUAUCCUUGCCAAAGCACAAAGGACGAGAAACGCCAACGUUUCUUUGAACAAAACAAACAGUUCAACUUCAACCUCAAACGAUUCUACCAGGAACUUGGCAAAAAUAAAAUAGGCAUCAAUGCGGCAUCAACAGCAGAAGAAGUGAAAGAAUUUUGGAAAGAAAUAUGGUCGGCGAAGAAACAACCUCAGAAAAUGUCGAUCAAAACAACGAACUCAUUACCUGAACAACUCUGGACCCCUAUAGCGACUGAAGAGGUCGCCCAGGAACUGCAAAACUAAGCAGCUGGAAGGCACGAUAAGAUCCCCAACUUCUGGUUAAGACAUCUGACAGGAACACACAAAAAGCUGGUUGAGAAAUUUAAUAACAUACUAGCAGAAACAGAGACAAUCCCUGAAUGGCUCUCGAAAAGGAAUCUUAAUUCCCAAAUCCACUGAAACGGCAAACCCACAAAAUUACAGACAAAUAACUUCUCUUCCUACAAUUUACAAAGCCUUUACUGCAAUAAUAUCGCAAAGAAUGGGCAAGCACCUGGAAGAAAACAACCUGUUUCCAGAAGGGCAGAAGGGAUGCUGCAAGGGCUCAUACGGCUGUAACGAUCAACUAGUGAUCAAUAAAGCCAUAUCUGAAGACAGCCGCAGAAAGACGAAAGGUCUAAACAUGACCUGGAUCGAUUACUGAAAGGCUUUUAAUAGUAUUCCCCACACAAGGAUCCUAGAAACACUAGCCAAGAACAAGGUAGCACCAAUAAUCAUAAAAUAUAUAAUCAGUUGAGUAUGUCACCUGGUGGCUGAUGAUAUGUGCAUCUCUGAUCUUGAGCAGAAGUAGUGGGAGAGCAUCAUAGCCAUGUGUUGAGAGGAAUUCUUUGGGGUUUGAAUAAUUCACCUUUGGAAACAUGCGUAUUUUGCUCAAUAUCCUUAAAUAAACCUUAUUCAAGGACCUUUUGAGCGGGAUGGGCUACGCGACCUGACGAAAAUUCUAACUGGGCCCCACCUGCGAGGUCAUGCGCUGUUUAUCUUGAUAUGAGAUCACUAUGUCGCGUACAUAUGGUUGUGAUGCAUGUGCCGGGUGUACCCUUAUCAGACGGGUAGUCAUGAUGGAUAUAUUGGGCUUCGUAUAUUUUACCCCAGUGUCACUUUCAUGGCAUGCACUGCUCUCUCACUCAAUAAUAAUAAUAGGAAUAAUGAUGAUGAUAAUAAUAAUAAUAAUAAUAAUAAUAAUAAUAAUAAUAAUAAUAAUAAUAAUAAUGCCAACAACUAUGAGAACCUCAUCGCGCCAGAUUCACCAGCUCUCAAGAAAUCAGGACAUCUAUUCUUUUUAUCACCAAAACAUAUAAAAGGAUUAAUCUGAAUAAUAAUACCAUGGAUAGUACUAACAACCCCCUUGAAUAUAGCAUGUUGUUGGCACUCCGUCGAUUACGACGUCGUGGGUUCCAGUUGAUCCGAUCAAUCGAACAGCCUGAUCGUGAAAUUAACGUGCAAGUGGCUGAGCACUCCACAGACACGUGUACCCUUAACGUAGUUCUCGGGGAUAUUCAGCGUGACACAGUGUGACAAAGCUGACCCUUAGAAUUGCAGGCACAACAGAAACAGGAAGUAAGAGUAAGAGAAAGUUGUGGUGGAAGAGUACAGCAGGGUUCGCCACCAUCCCCUGCCGGAGCCUCGUGGAGCUUUAGUUGUUUUCGCUCAAUAAACACUCACAACGCCCGGUCUGGGAAUCGAAACCGCGAUCCUAUGAGCGCGAGUCAGCUUCCCUAACCACUGGGCCAUUGCGCCUCCACUGAAUAUAGCAUAUACAAGGAGGAUCAAUCUGAAGGAUGCAACUCAACUCAUUAUAAAUUUCCUAGUAAUAGAAACAAUAACAUACUUAAUUAAAAGUAUCCUAGACCGAAUGGCUCCAACUGCAACUUCAAAGUACGUGCUAAUUGUCAAUUGAAGAUUCAACGUCGUUUAUAAGGGCGCGGUCUUUAACAAACAGCGAAACUCUAUCAAGGUUUACAUUGGAGAAUCCGUCGACUUUAAAUGUCAGAACUGAGACCAGUUUAUCCAGUCGGGGUUCAAUUGAGGACAGUGCUUCGUGCAAUGCAGAAUGAAUAUCCAUAUUCUUUCUGUACUUUGUCUUAAUGAAAACUCACGGUUGAGAAGUCAGUCUCGCAGACGUAUGUUGAAGGAAAUGGAAGAGUUUUCAGAGAAAUUUCACUAAGCUCAGGAUAUUCUGCUUUCACUUUAAUCCAAAAACGAACCAAGAGAUGUUGUAGUUUCGAAAUUCCUCUUCAAUCCUGGUGACCCAGCCAGUUCCAACAAUUUAUCCUCCAUAAUGACACUUAAGUCAUCUUGCAGUGAAACAAACGGAUUUCGGAUCCAUCUAUUCCCUUUCCGUGGAUCUUCUUCUGCUGGAAAUUAAAAUUGAAACCGGUCUGCUAGAUUCGUCAAGUGUUCUUUGAUGACAUUUCGUAGAAAUGUAAUAUUAAGUUCUUCGCCAGCAUCAGCGAUGAUUGUCACUAAUUGAUGAAACAUGUCAUAACAAUCUCUUGACACUCGACUCUUCCAUACUUCUGGCUUUCGUUUCUGUCCGUCAAUCAUGUCUGCCAUUGUAAAACACGAAGCCAUCGUUCCCUGAAUGGAGGUGUUGAGAUCAUUAAAGAUGGCAAAGAUAUCAGCCAGAUAAGCCAGCUUGGCUAACCAAUCUACAUCUCCGCACAAUUGUGACCAAUUUGGAUUUUUGUCCAGAAGAAACUCGGCAAACUCGUUUCAUAGCUCAAACACUAUUGACAGACCUUUCCCCCUUGAUAACCAACGUACGUCGGCAUGCAAUAGGAGAUAUUUAUGAUUAGCUCCCAUGUUAUCACAUAAUGCAGUGAAUAGUCUCUAAUUUAAAGCAUUCGCCUUUACAUGUUCACAAUUUAUACAACCUCGCUCAGCACACUGCUUAGUUCUGUUGACAUUUUUUUGUUGUUGCAAGACUUUCUCGGUGAAGGAAGCAGUGCGUCGACUUGCAUUCUGGGUCAAGCGCCUUAAUCUGGGUAACCACUCCUGAAUGCCGUCCUGUCAUUGCAGCAGUGCCAUCAGAACACACGCUUUCACAAAACUUGAAAUCCAACCCACAUUUGUUAACAAUGUAGUCGCUCACAGUCUCGAACACUUCAGAACUACUUGUUUUUGUUGGUAGUGAGGCAGAGAAAAAAAAAACUCUUCCUUCAAAUCACCUUGUUCAAAGUGCACAAACACCAUCAGAAUUGCCUAAUUAGCAAAGUCUGUGCAUUCAUCAAGCUGCAAAGAAAAGCACUUUGCUAAUUUAAUCUGUCCUAUGAGCUGAUCUUCUAUUUCGUGAGCCAGAUUGUGAAUUCGUCGAGCUAUUUAUUGUGUUAUCUGAAAGUGGCACCUGAGCCACUUUCUUUGCCGCCGGCUCGCCUAGCAUUUCGAUGUAGACAUCUUGAAUACAGCCUACCACUAGCGUCUCACCGAUUGUGUAUGGCAUUUUAGCCUUAGCAAUUCGAAUCGCUACUUUAUAAGAAGCCUGCAAAGCACAAGUAUUUAUGUGUGACACUUCAAAGAUCUGUUUCUGACGGCCUUUUAAAUCAACAUGCUUUCUUUCAAAGAAUUAUUUUGGCUUUGAACUCAUUUCUUUAUGUUUUGUAUUUAAUUGUCUCUUGAGAUUUGAUGGUUUCAUUGAGUCCUUAGCCAACACAUCUCCAGAAAUUAAACUCUGUGUGAUUUUUGCAUUCCCCCAUCAUUCAUGGCUACAAAAGCGAAUUGAAGUACGAGGAGUCAUAUUACCAAGUGAAGCUAGUUCGAAUUCUUUUUGCCGGCAAUACCUCGGUUUCAUUUACCUCGCCGUCAUCUGAUCCAAAAUCGCGUUCAGCAACCGAAUGUCUCGGAUUGAUAAAUAUGUCCAUAGGACCUCACUUCGCCACCUGUAAAUAUUUACAAUACGCAUUUUGAAUCCACUCUUCGAUUUUACAAUAGGAUGAAUUUAUAUUGAAUUCAUUUAUUUUGUUCAUUGCAUACGUUAGACCGUUACUUGAAAGGAUCAAUGAAAUAAAUCCAUUUUUAAAUGUGUAUCCUUUAACUAGUUUUGAUUACAUCGUUAUUUCUGUUCCAUUUUAACAAAACUGUCCGACGAACGGGAACGUGAAACUCUGAGUAACAGCUUUUGUUAUAUUUCUGCUGCUUUUAAAUAAAGCAUAUUACUCUA